AUAAUCAGAUGCUAUAAAUUUCGAAUAAGGAUCAGGCUGAAAUUCAAUCUACUGUACGAAUUUUGGAGCAAUCUCAGAUUAUCAUAUUUUUAUCUCAAGUUUAUUCUAAGAUCCGUGAUGCAAUCAAAGAGAGAGAAUGAUCCUAGAGAGACAAAAUCCAUAAAGAGAGAGAAAAGAUCUAAAGAGAGAAAAUAGAGAGAAAAUUUAGAGAG
rnacentral:lncRNA from 1 species